CAGCCGCCGCGGGAAAACGUAGGUGGCAAGCGUUGUCCGGAAUUAUUGGGCGUAAAGCGCGCGCAGGCGGUCAUGUAAGUCUGGUGUUUAAUCCCGGGGCUCAACCCCGGAUCGCACUGGAAACUGCGUGACUUGAGUGCAGAAGAGGAGAGUGGAAUUCCACGUGUAGCGGUGAAAUGCGUAGAGAUGUGGAGGAACACCAGUGGCGAAGGCGACUCUCUGGGCUGUAACUGACGCUGAGGCGCGAAAGCGUUGGGAGCAAACAGGAUUAGAUACCCCCGUAGUCCCUGUCUCUUAUACA
rnacentral:rRNA from 1 species